AGGGAAGAGAGAGAGGACCUGUGUUAUAUAUAGAAAAGGGUAAAGGGGGAGAGGGAGAGGGAAAUGAAGAGAGGGAGAAAGAGAGAGGAAGAGAAACAGAGUAUGUGAAGGAGGGAAAGAGAGAGGGAGAGAGAAAAAGAGAUAGUGGAAGAGAGAGAGGAAGAGGGAGCAACACAAAAGGGGAUAAAGACAGACAGAGGAAGAGAGAAAAAAUAAAGGGAGAGGAGGAUAGAGGAAGAGAGAAAGGAAGAAAGAGAAAAAUAGUAGAAAAGAGGAAGAGAGAGAGAGAGAGUGGGAGAGAGGAAGAAAGAGUGGGAGAAAGAGUAGAAGAGAGAGGAAGAGAGAGAGACAGAGACAGAGAGAGAUACAAAGAAGAGAGAGAGGGGCGGAGGAAGGAAGAAAGAGAAGAAGAGAGAGGGAGGGAGGGAAGAGAGACAGACAGUAGAACUAGUGAAUGAGAAAUGACUGGAUGGAGAGCAUGUGAAUAGCUGGAGGCAUGCAGAGAAAAGGAGGUGAAUGGCUACAGAUGGCUGCUGGGAGAGACAUGACUAAAGACAAGAUGAACUGUAGUAAAUAGAUAUGUGUAAAUGGAGAAGUUGUGAGAGUUACUAUUAAUUGUGGUACCAAAGUGCCUAAACUUAAAUACCAGGAUAUACAAGAGACAAUAUGGGCAGAAAGUCCAAGAAAAAAGAGGUGUAAUGUAAGAGAAUUCAAGUGACAAAUAAAUGAAUGGAAAGAAUGAAAUUGUGUGAAAUAUAUGAGGGUAGAAACAUGAAUAAUAUGUAACAAAAGAUGGAAAGCAUCCAAAGGGAUAGAAAUAAAUGCAUGGAAGGACCUAGACAUGGAUGGAUGAAAGAGUCCCCAAGUGGAUGGAUUCACCGAGACAGAAUAGUGUCUUGUGGAAACAUAGAGGAUGUGAGGGUGUGACUGAAUAAAUGUGGAGACCUAGUAAGUCACUAAGGAAUCUAUAGGGGUAUAUAGAUUGAGAAAUGGGUGAUAUGAAAAGAGAAAAAGUGAGAUUCUGGUGUAGGAGAGAUUAAGAAAGUGAAAAUAUGAAUGAAUGGACAUUUUCAAAUAAAUAGAAUUGUACAGUAUUAGGCCCUUGUAGGAAGAGCCUGGGAUGAAUAUUAAGACCAAGUGAAAAGUAAUAAAGGGUGGGAGAAAUGUGAUGAGUGAAAUACAGAUGGUGUAAGUGUUCCAGAGUAAGUCAGAAAGAUCAAGAAAGAUGUUUUUAGAAAGUCAAGUAAUAUAAGCUGAAACAGUGGGUGGUUGAAGAAAAUAAGGGAGCAUAAAGUUGGAUGGAUAAAAAUACUUAGAUAUUCAGACAUAGAUUACUGAAGAGACCCGUGUAGUGAGUUUUAAAGGAUUGAAGAGACCAACUCAGAGGUUUGAAAAAUGGAGAAAACAAGAUUUGCCAUGAUGAAUGGAAAACAUGAUGGUGAAAGACAGAUAUAUUAUGAAUCGAGAUUGCUGAGAUUCCAGAUGUUGAGACACUGAUGUGUGGAGAGAACUGUAAGAAAUGGAGAUUUGUGCAUGGAAAAGUUGACAGAAUUAGAAAUAGAGAUGGCAACAGGCCGAGAUAGGACUGUUUGAAAGGAAUAGUGCACUGAGAGACAUGUAAGAGCAGAGUUGAAGAAAAAGAGAGGUGUAAUGUAACAGAAAACAGUAAAAGAACUUUGAAUAGAACAGAAUUUUGAAUAGAAAUAAUGUAAUUAUAUAAAGUGCAAAAGUAUAGAAAUACAAAUUAGGAUAGAUAAAAGGAACCAGAGUAACAGAGGAAAAAAAAAACAGACACCUAGAUCAAAAAACAUAAAUGAAUGAAAGGAGAAAUCCAGAAAAAAAGAUAUGAAUGGUUUGAUAAAGAAUUAAGAGAAAUAGAAAAUAUGUGGAUAGCUGGAAAGGGUAUCGAGAUGUAGAGCAGAAUCGCAAGGGAGGGAGUGCUCAAGCCCUGGAUGACAGUCCUCAUGCUACUAAUGAUUUUAGGAAAACUCCAUUCAUUCCUAUGCUCUUUAGUGUUUUUAAUAGGAAUAGAUGUUAUAUUUUGCCAAAUGCUUUUUCUACACUUAUUGAUAUAAUCAUAUGAUUUCUGUUAGUUUGGUUUUUGAUAUUGUCACUUGUGCCGAUAGCUUUCCCGAUAUUGAACCAGCCCUGCAAUCUUGGUACAAAUCUUACUUGGUCAUAGUGUAUUAUCCUGGUAUGAUAGGUUGCUGUUAUCUUUUUGCUAAUUUUUACAUCAAUAUUUAUUAGGGAAAUUUGCCUCUAAUUUUCCUUCUCUGUUUUGGCCUUUCCUUCUUUAGCUAUCAGCACAUAUGUGCGGCAUAAAAGAAAUUUGAUAGGACUCCUCCUUCCCCUAUUUUUCCAUAUAGUUUGCAUAAUAUUGGAAUUUAGUUUUUUUUUAAUAUUUGGUAGAAUUCACUUUUAAAUCCAUCAGGCCCUGCGGAUUUUUUCUUAGGGAAUUUAUUAAUGGCUUGUUCAAUUUCUUUUUCUAAAAUGAAACUAUUUAAGUAUUUAUUUCCUUGUCUAUUAAUCUGAGCAAUCUAUAAUUUUGGAGGUAUUCAUCCAUUUCACUUAGAUUAUCAGAUUUAUUGGCAUACAGUUGGACAAAAUAACUCCUAAUAAUUGUUUUAAUUUUUUCUUCAUCGGUGAUAAGAUUUUCAUUUUUGAUACAAGUAAUUUGGUUUUCUUUCCUUUUUCUAAUAAAAUUAACCAAAGGUUUAUCUAUUUUUCUUUCAGAAAACCAACUCUUAAUUUUAUUAAUUAAUUCAAUAAUUUUCUUUCAAUUUUAUUAAUCUCUCCUUUGAAUUUCAAAUUUUCUAAUUUGGUAUGUAAUUGGAGGUUUUUAAUUUGUUCUUUUUAAGUAGUAUGCCCAAUUCAGUGAUCUUCUUUUUCUCUAUUUUAUUCAAGUAAGCAUCUAGAGAUUAAAAAAAAAAUUGCCCUAAUAACUGCUUUGGCUGCUUACCGUAAGUUUUGGUAUAUUGUCUCAUUAUUGUCAUUCUCUUGGGUGAGAUGAUCGGCUGUUUCUAUGAUUUGUUGUUUCACCCACUCAUUCUUUAGGAUUAGAAUGUUUAAAUUCCAAUUCACUUUUUUUGUUUGUUUGUUUGUUUUGUCUGUUUAAAUCACAGGUUUAAUUGAAAGGAAGUAAAACAGACAACUUUUUCAAUAAAACAAGUAGCUCUUGUAACUUUUAUAAAUAGUUAUACAUAUAAGGCCAAUACAAUCAGCCCACAUUUUAAUGGAGGAAGAAUAUUGAGUAAGGAAAGAAUAUGAUCUUGUUUAACAUUGCUGACAUCUCAAAUUUCACGUUAAAAAAAAAUAAACCAUAAAUUAUAUUAUUAGUUGGUGCAGUGAAAUCAGUCAUCUUACUAUUGGACAUCAACUUUCCAAUUCACUUUUAGUCUCGCUUUCCUUGGCCCUUUUUGAAUGUAAUUUUGAUUGCAUCAUGAUUUCUUCACCAUUUCUGUCUUUCUGCAUUUCAUUGUGAAGUUUUUGUACCCCAGUAUAUGGUCAAUUUUUGUAUAGGUGCUGUAUAUUGCUGAGCAAAAAAUAGUAUGUUCCUUUCUAUCCCCGUUCAAUUUUCUCCAAGGGUCUAUCAUACCUAAUUUUACUAAAAUGCUAUUCUCCUUAACUUCUUUCUUAUUUAUUUUAUGGUUCAAUUUAUCUAGUUCUGAGAGGGCAAGGUUGAGAUCCCCUAAUAGUAUAGUUUUGCUGUCUAUUUCUUCUUGCAGCUCUCUUAACUUCUCCUUUAGGAAUUUAGAUGCUAUACCAUUUGGUACAUAUAUGUUUAGUAUUGAUAUUGUUUCAUUAUCUAUGGUACUGAACGAGAUGAGGUGAGAUCUUUCAAGACAGUUGUGAAAAUUGAGUAAGGCUUCAUCUAUUUCAGAGUUGAAGUAGGCUGAAGGACUUUAAGCAUCAAGUCAAGGGCAUACUUAAGUCCCUUCCCUGCUAUCCCCUAAGGGCUUACUUAAGUCCCCUUGUUAUCCUCCUAUGACAUCAGUGUCUUUCUGUUUAGGUCAAAAAUGGGCAACUAUGUACUUAUUGGUCAAGUUCAAUUUCUUGAGUAGUUCCCGCGUUUAGAAUGAAGAUCCUCAGCCAAUAAGGAUGAGGGUCAGUGGUGGGAGGUGGUAUUUGCGUUAGGGAUAAAAAGUGUUGACCCUGCCCCCUACGGUGCUUCCUCCCUUCAAUUGUCUGCUCGAUGGGUGGGACGCCCGAUUCUCGAGAACGUAUAAUAAACUUUGCUUUGCUUCUAGAUAUUUCUCCAGCUUUUUUUCAUUAAAUGCUGGCUGAACCACACAGUACCCUUUAGCAAGAUAUAGUUUCUUUCCUUAUCUCUUUUAAUUAAAUCUAUUUUUCCUUUUGCUUGAUCUGAGAUCAAGAUUGCUACCUCUGCUUUUUUUUUUUUUUACUUUAGCUGAAGCAUGAUAGAUUUUGUAUUAUGUAUCUCUGCUUCAAAUGUGUUUCUUGUAAAUAACAUAUUUUGAGAUUCUGGCUUUUAAUCUACUCUGAUAUCUGCUUCCAUUUUAUGGGAGAGUUCAUCCCAUUCAAAUUCAAAGUUAAAAUUACUAAUUCUGUAUUUCCCACCUUCCUGUUUUUCUAAAGCUGUACUUUUCUCUCUCCUUUAACCCUCUUCCUCCUCACUAGUGUUUUGUUUCUAAUGAACACAUCCCUCAAUCUUCCCUCUUUUUUCAGAUCUUCUUAGGAUAUUCACUAUUCUGCCCCAAAUCAUAUUUUUCACCAGUCUACAAUCUGCCUGAGGCACAAUUUUGUUUUGUUUAUGUAUGGGGGGAAACUAGAAAGCUUGGAAUUUUCUGACCUCUACCAUCUUCUCAGAAUUUUCUCUCUUCUUUGAAGGUCUUAAAGCACCAUAUAAAUUGUGUUAUUAGAGAUUAAUUGAGAUAAGGGCAGGUGAAGAUAAAAAACCAACAAAGAAUAAAAAGGAAGGAAGAAAGGAUAUGCAAGAAAGUGAGGAAAGAACAGGUAGAUUGGCAAGGGGAGGGGGGGGUUACUGUGUGAAUUUAUUUUGUUUGAAAUUUAUUAUUUUUUUUUAAAAAGCAAGAAGUAAGAAAUUGAGGUUUGUGAUUUCUUAUGUAAUCCACUGUAAUUUUAGGUGUUUUAAGUUCAGAAUAAAGUCACUUUUGAAAAACAAAGGGGGAAUGAGAUACUUACUCUCUCCCAGGCCAGGCCAGCAGGCCCCCAUAGCUGAGAAGUCUAAAAGACCAGAACUGGAAGCAAGGGGUGGGACUGGGGCUGGAGGGAAGAAAUUUUUUCUUUGUCUGCUUUCCAGAGUAAGGUCAGGGGGACCACAGCAAGAAGAAGAAGAGCUGAGGGAAAGAAAACUUUUUUCCCCUCGAACCAGCCAACAGAAUGACAGAGAAACUGAUGAUUCUUUCUCACUCUUCCUCUGAUUCUCCCUGCCUCUCCCUGCAUGGCCAACAGGACCACAACAAAGAGAUGAACAAUUGGGAUGAGGGUGAGGGGUAGGAGAGAAGACUCGCUUUCUCUUUUCCAGAAUGAGGCCAGCAGCACCAGAACAGCAAGAUGACCAGCUGGGAAAGAGGGAGAUACUGUCUCCCUCUUUCCCUCUUUCCCUCCUUCUUUCUCUCUUUCUCUCUCCUCCUGGAUCCAGCCAACAAGACUACAGUAAAGAGAUGUCUAGAAAAAAGAUGGGGAAUCAGCAUGUCUCCCAGGCCUGACCAGAGGGACAGGAGUGAGUGGAAACACUUCUGUCCCUGAAGCCAGCUAGAAGGCCCAAGAAAAGAUGAGAAGACAAGGAGGAUGUCCGUUUCCAUCUUUCUUAGUGGAGACAGUCAGUGAGGAGCCUCUCUGUCUCCAACUCUCAGUUCCUCUUCUCCCUACUGGAAAGCUCAGCUAGCAAAAGUCUGAAUGAGAGGAAAAUACCAAAAGGUUGAAGGACAAACCCAACAGAGACCCUUUAUGUAUCCCUGGCCCAAGAAGCAAGACUGCCACAACCAAAAGACAACCAGGAGGGAGGAAAAGAGGAAUUUUUCUUUCCUCUCUUACUCUCUCCAGCAUGGAGAUGACCAGGGUGUAAGUAUGAGGGAGGGAGAGCUAGGGGGAAGAUUCUUUUUUUUUUUUCAGAGUCAAAACAAUGGGGCCACAGCAAGAAGAUAACUAUCAAGAAGAGGAAGAUUCUGUCUGUGUCUGCAUCUCCGUUUCAUUCUCUCAUUCUCUCCCUGGAGCCAUGAAGAGGAUUGCCAUAAAGUGAUAUCCAAAACAGGGAGAGAGAGAGAAUGAGGAGGCGCUCCCCUGAACCUGACAAAUGGAACAGGGGUUGAUGAGGCUCCUCUUUGUUUCCCUGGUUCGAAAGAGGAGAUCAAAUGACAAGAUCCAACAGAAGACCCUCUCUGUAUCUCUGGCCCAGGAAGCAAGACUGCCACAACUGGAAGACAUCCAGAAGGGAGGGAGAGAGAAACUUCCAUGUGCUCAUUCUCCCUCCCUUGACAGCAAAGAUGGGACCAGCACAUGAAAAUGGGGAGGGGGAAAGGGAAAGAUUCUAUUUUUCAGGGCAACACCAGUAGGAGAAGCACAAGGAGGAGAAGGGGCAGGAAGAGGAGAAGGGGCUCUAGCUCUUUUUGUGCUCCUCUUCCCCCCCUCUCCAGAAGAGCCAGCUAGCAGAAGCCGGCCUGUGAAGGCAGAACCAUAAAACAGGUAUAGCAGACAGAUGAAUGGUGGAGGAGCUUCUCUUUUCCUGAGUCAGACCAAUGGGGCAACAGCAAGAAGAUGACCUGCUGGAAAAGGAAGACUCUUCUUUCUGUCUGUCUCCCUCUCCCCCUUCCCCCCCUCCUCCUGCUCUUCAGUCUUUAGUCCUGGUCGGUGUUGUCAGUCAUCAUCGGUCAUCGUUGUCAGGGGUUGUCGGUCGUGGUCGUAGGUCAUCAUUGGUCAUGGUCGAGGAUUGUCGGUUGGCAUCAGGGGUCAUCAUUGGGGGUCGUCAGUCGUCGGGGGUCAUCGUCGUUGGGGGCCGUCAUCAUCGGGGCUCAUUGGUCAUCGUCAUCAUUGGUCGUCGUCAUCGGAAGUUGUCGGUCAUCGUCGGGGAUCCAUCAGUCGUCAUCAUCGGGGGUCGUCGGUCGUCAUUGGGGGUCGUCAAUCAUCAGUCGUCAUUGGGGAUCGUCAGUCGUCGUCGGGGGUCGUCGGUCGUCGUCGGGGGUCGUCGAUCGUCGGUCGUCAUCGGGAGUCGUCGGUCGUCAUCGGGAGUCAUCGGUCGUCGUCGUCGGGGAUCGUCGGUCGUCGUUGGGAGUCAUCGCUCGUCGUCGUCGGGGAUCGUCGGUCGUCGUCGUCGGGGGUCGUCGUCGGGGUCAUCGUCGGGGGUCGUCGGUCGUCGUCGGUCGUAGUCGGGGGUUGUCGGUCGUCGUCGGGAUCGUCGGUCGUCGUCAGGAUCGUCAGUCGUCGUCGGUCGUCGUCGGGGUCAUCGAUCGUCGGUCGUCGUCGGGGGUCGUCGGUCGUUGGUCGUUGAGGAUCGUCGGUCGUCGAGGAUCGUCGGUCAUCGAGGAUCGUCAUUGGGGGUCAUUGGUCGUCAUCAGUGGUCGUCGGUCGUCAUCCUCGCUCGUCCUCGGUCAUCAUCCUCGCUCGUCCUCGCUCAUUGUUGGUUGUCCUCGCUCAUCCUUGUUUAUUGUCAGUCGUCCUCCUUCGUCCCUGGGGGUCCUCGCUCGUCCUUGAUCGUCCUCAAGGGUUGUCAGUCGUCCUCGCUGGUUGUUGGUCAUCCUUGCUCGUCCUAGCUCAUUCUCAUAGGUUGUUGGUUAUCAUCGGAUCGGUCAUCAUUCGUUGGUCGUUGGUCAUCGUUGAUCGUCCUGGCUCAUCCUCGCUCAUCCUCAGUGGUCCUUGGUUGUCCUCGGGUGUUGUCAGUCAUCUCACUUGUCCUCAGGGGCCCUCGGUCAUCCUCAGUGGUCCUAGGUCGUCCUUAGUCAUCCUUGGUCGUCAUCGGUGGUCCUCGGGGGUCAUCGGUCAUCCUCAGUCUUUGGUCGUUGGUCAUCGUCACUUGUCCUUGGUGUUCCUCGGGGGUCCUCGGUAGUCCUCGGGUGUCGUCGGUAGUCCUCGGGUGUCGUCAGUCGUCCUCGCUCGUCCUCGGUGGUCCUUGGGAGUCCUCGGGGGUCGUCGGUCAUCCUUGAUCGUCGUCGGUGGUCCUUGUGGGUCAUUGGUCAUCCUCACUCAUCCUUGGUGCUCCUCGGGGGUCCUCGGUAGUCCUCAGAUGUUAUCAAUCAUCCUCACUUGUCUUCGGUGAUCCUUGGUGGUCUUCGGGGAUCGUCGGUCGUCUUCGAUCGUCGUCAGUCAAGCCCCGUCCUCGGGAGUUGUUGGUCAUUGUCGGUGGGCCUCGGUGACCCUCAGUCAUCCUCAGUUCUUGGAUCAGGCCAAUAGGAGGACAGCAAGCAGGAGAAAGGCUGGAAGAGGAAGAUUCGCUUCAUUUCUUCUUCUUUUCUCUUGCCAACAAAUGCAGCGAGCAGAAGGCUAACCGUGAAGAGUUUACCAGAAGACAGAAGAACUACUGCGGAGAAACGGCCAAUGUGGGAGCAAGACAGAAGAUUCUUCCUCUUGUCCUGAUCAGACCAAUAGGACCACAGCAAAUGGUCCCCAGAAAACCUGCUCUCUUUCUGGUGGUCUAGUCACAAGCAAGGACCACAGCAAGGAGAUAACCAGCUCAAAAAGGGAGAUUCUCAAAGAUGACAGAGAAAAACCAGCAAGUUGCCUGGACUGUCCUCAGUUACCCUCAAAACAACAUUCAAUCGAGCCUCUAAGCAAAUUCUGGAGUGAAAGAACUCACAAAAAGAUAAGAUUUCAAGCAGGAUGCUCUGAAAAGAACAGGAAAAGACUUCUGUGAAUUUAUGCAACGUGAAAUAGGCAGAACCAGAAAAACAUCGUACACAGUUAACAGCAACAUCUUAUGAUGACUUACUGUGAAUAACUGAACUAUUCUCAGCAAUACUAUGAUCCAAAACAGUUCUGAAGGAUUUAUGGUGAAAAGUAGUGCGGUCCAUCUCCAGAGAAAGAACUGAGCCUGAAAGGAGAUUGAAGAUACUUUUUCUUUAUUUUUCUGGAGUUAUUUUUGUCUGUAUUCUCUUUCAAAACAUGACUUAUGUAAAUGUGUUUUUCAUUAUCACAUGUGUAUGACAUUUCAAAUUGUUUGCCUUUUCAAUGAAAAGAGGGAGGAGGGAAAUUUAGAACUCAGGAUUUGAAAAAAAGAUUGGUGAAAUUGUUUUUAAUGUAAUUGGGGAAAAACAAAAUAUUGAAUUAUGGAAAGGGGCAAGAAAUGAAGAGACAUUUUUUAAAAACCUGGAAAGACUUACACAAACUGAUGUUGAGUAAAGUGGGCAGAACCAGGAAAACAUUGCCCACAGAACAGCAACACUGUGCAAUGAUAAGCUAAGAUUGACUUAGCCCUUCUGUAUAAGACUGAUCCAAGAUGAUUCCAAAAGAUUCAUGAUGAAAAGUGCCAUGCACAUCCAGAGAAAGAACAUAUGGAGUCUGAAGACAGAUCAAAGCACAUUAUUUUCAUGAGUUUUUUUUUUCAAAAUUUUCCCUUUUUUCCUCUUAUUUCAUGUUAGAACUAUUAUGGAAAUCUGUUUUACAUUAUGGCAAAUAAAUAAUAUAUAUGUGUGUGAUGGCUUAUUUAUGGAUGAUGACAGGAAAGAAAAAAGUAUUGAACUCAAAAUGUUUUUUAAAAUAAAUGUAAAAAUUGGUUUUACAUGUAAUUGGAAAAAAAUAAAUUAUGAUUGAAAAACAGGAAUGGUUCUUGUUCAUUAUCUGUUUCACUUCCUG
rnacentral:lncRNA from 1 species